rnacentral:rRNA from 1 species
UGCGCCUUGCCAGCCGCUCAGAAACUUAAAGGAAUUGACGGGGACCCGCACAAGCAGCGGAGCGUGUGGUUUAAUUCGAUGUUACACGAAGAACCUUACCAGGGUUUGACAUGCAAGUGGUAGCGAAGCGAAGCGGAGCGACCCUUCGGGGAGCUUGCACAGGUGCUGCAUGGCUGUCGUCAGCUCGUGUCGUGAGAUGUUCGGUUAAGUCCGCUAACGAGCGCAACCCUCGUCGUGUGUUACAAGUGUCACGCGAGACCGCCGGUCAUAAACCGGAGGAAGGUGGGGAUGACGUCAAGUCAGCAUGGCCUUUAUGUCCUGGGCUACACACACGCUACAAUGGCCAGUACAAUUGGUAGCUAAGCCGCGAGGUGGAGCCAAUCCGUAAAAGCUGGCCUCAGUUCAGAUUGUAGGCUGCAACCCGCCUGCAUGAAGAUGGAGUUGCUAGUAACCGCAGGUCAGCAAUACUGCGGUGAAUACGUUCCCGGGUCUU